rnacentral:rRNA from 1 species
AUGGCCCCACGUCCGCCUUUAUCCGCCCGCAACACGGCCAACACAACAUUAGGGUCGUCCCCCCCAUUCUAUGCUGACCCGGGCCGGGGCUCGCUUUUUGGGAAGCCCGUUCCCACCGCGCUGACCUCAUGGUAUCCAAGUUGA